rnacentral:tRNA from 1 species
GACUGUAUACUUUAUUAUAAAAGAUUUGGUUUGCGACUAAAACUAGGGGUAAUUCCCUACAGUCA